UACAGAGGGUGCGAGCGUUAAUCGGAAUUAUUGGGCGUAAAGGGCGCGUAGGCGGCUUUGCAAGUCAGAUGUGAAAGCCCCGGGCUUAACCCGGGAAUUGCAUCUGAAACUGCUUAGCUUGAGUCCUGGAUGGGGUAGUGGAAUUCCCAGUGUAGCGGUGAAAUGCGUAGAUAUUGGGAGGAACACCUGCGGCGAAGGCGGCUACCUGGACAGUGACUGACGCUGAGGCGCGAAAGCGUGGGGAGCAAACAGG
rnacentral:rRNA from 1 species